rnacentral:tRNA from 1 species
GCCGGCCUAGCUCAAUUGGUAGAGCAACUGACUUGUAAUCAGUAGGUUGGGGGUUCAAAUCCGGUUGCCGCCUCCA